rnacentral:rRNA from 1 species
UAGGGAAUCUUCCGCAAUGGACGAAAGUCUGACGGAGCAACGCCGCGUGAGUGAAGAAGGAUUUCGGUUCGUAAAACUCUGUUGUUAGGGAAGAAAAAAUGUAUAGUAACUAUAUACAAAAGAGACGGUACCUAACCAGAAAGCCACGGCUAACUACGUGCCAGCAGCCGCGGAAUACGUAGGUGGCAAGCGUUGUCCGGAAUUAUUGGGCGUAAAGCGCGCGCAGGUGGUUUAGAAAGUCUGAUGUGAAAGCCCACGGCUCAACCGUGGAGGGUCAUUGGAAACUAAUAAACUUGAGUGCAGGAGAGAAAAGUGGAAUUCCUAGUGUAGCGGUGAAAUGCGUAGAGAUUAGGAGGAACACCGGUGGCGAAAGCGGCUUUUUGGCCUGCAACUGACACUGAGGCGCGAAAGCGUGGGGAGCAAACAGG